rnacentral:rRNA from 1 species
GGAAGGUGGGGAGUGACGUCAAGUCAUCAUGGCCCUUACGGCCUGGGCUACACACGUGCUACAAUGGUCGGUACAAAGGGUUGCCAAGCCGCGAGGUGGAGCUAAUCCCAUAAAACCGAUCGUAGUCCGGAUCGCAGUCUGCAACUCGACUGCGUGAAGUCGGAAUCGCUAGUAAUCGUGAAUCAGAAUGUCACGGUGAAUACGUUCCCGGGCCUU